rnacentral:rRNA from 1 species
UACGAAGGGGGCGAGCGUUGUUCGGAUUUACUGGGCGUAAAGGGCGCGCAGGCGGCGGAUCAAGUCAGAUGUGAAAGCCCCGGGCUUAACCUGGGAACUGCAUUUGGGACUGGUUUGCUAGAGAUCGGGAGAGGAGGGUGGAAUACCCAGUGUAGAGGUGAAAUUCGUAGAUAUUGGGUGGAACACCGGUGGCGAAAGCGGCUCUCUGGCCCGGAUCUGACGCUGAGGCGCGAAAGCGUGGGGAGCAAACAGG